rnacentral:rRNA from 1 species
AGUGAACGCUGGCGGCAGGCCUAACACAUGCAAGUCGAACGGCAGCACAGGAGAGCUUGCUCUCUGGGUGGCGAGUGGCGGACGGGUGAGGAAUACAUCGGAAUCUACCUUUUCGUGGGGGAUAACGUAGGGAAACUUACGCUAAUACCGCAUACGACCUACGGGUGAAAGUGGGGGACCGCAAGGCCUCACGCGAUUAGAUGAGCCGAUGUCCGAUUAGCUAGUUGGCGGGGUAAUGGCCCACCAAGGCGACGAUCGGUAGCUGGUCUGAGAGGAUGAUCAGCCACACUGGAACUGAGACACGGUCCAGACUCCUACGGGAGGCAGCAGUGGGGAAUAUUGGACAAUGGGCGCAAGCCUGAUCCAGCCAUACCGCGUGGGUGAAGAAGGCCUUCGGGUUGUAAAGCCCUUUUGUUGGGAAAGAAAUCCUGUCGCUUAAUACUCGGUGGGGAUGACGGUACCCAAAGAAUAAGCACCGGCUAACUUCGUGCCAGCCGCCGCGGUAAAAC